GCCAGGUGUGGUGGCACGUGCCUGUAGUCCCAGCUCCUCAGGAAGCUGAGGCUGGAGGAUAGCUUGAGUCCAGGAAUUCUGGGCUGUAGUGCACUGUGCCCACUGGGUGUCCACACUAAGUUCAGCAUCAAUAUGGUGACCUCCUGGGAGUAGGGGACCACCAGGUUGCCCAAGGAGGGGUGAACCAGCCCAGGUUGGAAACGGAGCAGGUCAAAACUCCCGUGCUGAUCAUUAGUGGGAUCGCACCUGUGAAUAGCCACUGCACUCCAGCCUGGGCAACAUAGUGAGACCCCAUCUCU
rnacentral:SRP_RNA from 1 species